AUUGGAUCUCUCAGAGUGUGUCUCCAGCAAUGUGUCAGGAUCCAAAACUGGGCUGCAGGCUGGAUGGAAACUCAGUUGCAGAAAAGAGGUGGCUGACACCCGCCAUGAGAGAGGCAACCGAGGGUUUGGUGUUGUGCUGUACACCAAACACAACUUGUCUCGUGUGUGAUAGUCAGGCUGCCCUGCCCGUGGGAGGAGAUUUAGAGAGCACCGCUGCUUUUAGAAAAGCUGCCAGCAGAGAUGUGUUGCCUGGUUUUCUAGAGGGGAAGCACACAGCUGUUGUAACAUCCCAUGCCCUUUCCAACCUGCAGAUGUGCAAUGAGAAAUCAGAAUAUUAAUUUGAGUCCUCUGUUACUGCCACUGACUUCUGCUCUUUUAAAAAGGACUUGACCAUAUGGAAUUUCUGAAUGAACUGCUGCAAACUCCUUUUUAAUGAACUUUGCAUAACAAAGUGCUAGGAACACAUUUCCUAUAGAUAUAUGGC